GGCAGCAUAGCUCAUUGGUAGAGUUCUUACCUGGCAUGCAUGAGGCCCUGGGUUUGAUCCCCAGCAUUGGCG
rnacentral:tRNA from 1 species